GUAAUUCCGGUGAAGAUGCCGGAUACCUGCGACAGGACGGAAAGACCCCAUGGAGCUUUACUGUAGCUUGACAUUGGGUCUUGGUACUACAUGUACAGGAUAGGUGGGAGGCUUUGAAACCAGGACGACAGUUUUGGCGGAGCCAUCCUUGGGAUACCACCCUUGUAGUACUGGGACUCUAACCAUAGGCCAUGAAUCUGGUCUUGGGACACUGUCAGGUGGGCAGUUUGACUGGGGCGGUCGCCUCCCCAAAGGUAACGGAGGCGCUCAAAGGUUCUCUCAGUACGG
rnacentral:rRNA from 1 species